rnacentral:rRNA from 1 species
GACGAACGCUGGCGGCGUGCUUAACACAUGCAAGUCGAACGGAAAGGCCCUGCUUUUGUGGGGUGCUCGAGUGGCGAACGGGUGAGUAACACGUGAGUAACCUGCCCUUGACUUUGGGAUAACUUCAGGAAACUGGGGCUAAUACCGGAUAGGAGCUCCUGCUGCAUGGUGGGGGUUGGAAAGUUUCGGCGGUUGGGGAUGGACUCGCGGCUUAUCAGCUUGUUGGUGGGGUAGUGGCUUACCAAGGCUUUGACGGGUAGCCGGCCUGAGAGGGCGACCGGCCACAUUGGGACUGAGAUACGGCCCAGACUCCUACGGGAGGCAGCAGUGGGGAAUAUUGCACAAUGGGCGGAAGCCUGAUGCAACAACGCCGCGUGCGGGAUGACGGCCUUCGGGUUGUAAACCGCUUUCGCCUGUGACGAAGCGUGAGUGACGGUAAUGGGUAAAGAAGCACCAGCUAACUACGUG